GACGAACGCUGGCGGCGUGCUUAACACAUGCAAGUCGAACGGAAAGGCCCUGCUUUUGUGGGGUGCUCGAGUGGCGAACGGGUGAGUAACACGUGAGUAACCUGCCCUUGACUUUGGGAUAACUUCAGGAAACUGGGGCUAAUACAGGAUAGGAGCUCCUGCUGCAUGGUGGGGGUUGGAAAGUUUCGGCGGUUGGGGAUGGACUCGCGGCUUAUCAGCUUGUUGGUGGGGUAGUGGCUGACCAAGGCUUUGACGGGUAGCCGGCCUGAGAGGGUGACCGGCCACAUUGCGACUGCGAUACGGCCCAGACUCCUACGUGAGGCAGCAGUGGGGAGUAUUGCACAAUGGGCGGAAGCCUGAUGCAGCAACGCCGCGUGCGGGAUGACGGCCUUCGGGUUGUAAACCGCUUUCGCCUGUGACGAAGCGUGAGUGACGGUAAUGGGUAAAGAAGCACCGGCUAACUACGUG
rnacentral:rRNA from 1 species